rnacentral:misc_RNA from 1 species
UGGCCGCCAUGUCAAGUGAGUGUUAACGUCGUGUCCCGUGGUAAAAAUGUCAACAAAUCGCCCCCCUGGGUCCGGAAAAAAAAGGGGCCAUCAGCACCACCCCCGAAACGAAGGUACCAGACGUAGGCCGAUACUGGAACCGGUAGUGGGGCCCCAGUUAAGCGUUUACAGUACGGAAAAUGUGUUGACAAAAGUCAACAGGGGGGCUGAAGUAACCAAAACAUUGUCGGAAAACCAACAGAAAUCGGACAAGGGAAUCGUUUCGGGGGUUGACAGCAGUUCUCAAGUAAAUUGUGAUAUACCCGUGAUAGAUUUAACUCAAUGUGAUGAUGAUUUAUUAGAAGUUAAGUCUGAAAAAGUAGUUUUAAAUGAUAGCAGUAGUAGUAGUCCUAUUGUAACGAAAAGUUUGAAAAACGAUAAGAAUCAACGAAUCAAAAAGUCCAAGAAGAGUAAACAAGAUACUCCGCCUCGAAAGAGUUCCAGUCAGAGUUCGUUUGAUAAUGAGGACAUGUCUUUGGUAGAAAGACCUGAGGCGGAGGGGUCCAGUUUGAGUGACCAAGAAACCGAAAAGGUCGACGUCGACCCCGAAAUUGAAGAGUUAGCCAAGCUUCGCUGUACGUCCGAAAGGACCGAAGUGAUAGCUGAGAAGGAAAUGAGGAAACGAGGCAGGAGAUGUGCAGAUUAUCCCGGUCUCGCCUUCAGUUCCACAUUCAGUUCUGAUACCAUUAUGAAGUUCAGCAUCAUUAGGAACGAGAUUCAGAAUAUUAUGAAUACACAAUUGAAAAGGGCCGAAUCCGAAGUGGCCGCCCUGAACCGUCGCAUCCAGCUCUUGGAAGAGGACCUGGAACGUUCCGAGGAGCGUCUGGCCACGGCCACCGCCAAAUUGGCCGAGGCCUCACAAGCGGCCGACGAAAGCGAAAGGCAACGCAAGAUUCUCGAGAACCGCUCGUUGGCAGAUGAGGAGCGCAUGGACGCUUUGGAGAACCAACUGAAGGAGGCCCGAUUCCUCGCCGAGGAAGCCGACAAAAAAUACGAUGAGGUAGCCCGUAAGUUGGCCAUGGUUGAAGCCGACCUGGAAAGAGCCGAAGAACGUGCCGAAGCCGGCGAAUCGUAGGUUUUCUUUGUUGUUUGUUGUUGUGUGUGAUUUUGCCUGUUUGUCAGUUUUUUUUUUCCACGACAUCCUUAAAGGAAAAAGAGGAGGAAGCAUUGGACCCCAACUUUUUAAUUUUUAGCAUGUCGCCAGGAAGUUGGUACUUAUGGAACAGGAUUUGGAACGGGCAGAGGAGCGAGCGGAAGUUGCUGAAAGCAAAAUCGUAGAGCUUGAGGAGGAACUCCGCGUCGUAGGCAACAACCUUAAAUCCCUCGAGGUCUCAGAAGAAAA